GCCACAUGAUGCAAUAGUCUGAGACGGGAGCGCCACGCGCCAGGACGACCUUCAUCUAUCACCCUUGACUGAUGGCU